UGGGUGGUACAGUUGUCAUUGAUCCGACCUCUCGACCAUACAGGGGUCAUGGUGCAGAGAGGUAGCAGUAGAUGAUUCAUGGAUGCUUGGAGAGAUGCCAGCUGCUAGUCCUGGGUCCUGCGUUAUAUCAGUUUUAUUUCCGCUUUAUUUGUAUUUUUAGUAUAUAGUGGUUUUAGUAUUAUAUGAAUUGGUCUGUGUUUGGUGUUUGAUUCGUAGUGUUUUGCUUUCGAGAUCUUGUGGUGGUGCAAGCCUAAUUAGCUAGUAAACCUUAGUUGUGGAUUGUUCGUACUAUUUUAUGUUUUCCGUUGUGCAUGUUUCCAACCAUGUGGGCUGUUAUUAACUACGUGGUUAUUUUCAUUUUGUCCAGCCGAGUAGGCUGAGUAUAUUAACUGCGUGGUUGUACUUAUAUCCAGUCGUGUGGGCUGUUGUAUUAUGUUA